AACGAACGCUGGCGGCAUGCCUAACACAUGCAAGUCGAACGAGACCUUCGGGAGUAGGGGCGCACGGGGGCGUAACGCGUGGGAACCUGCCCUUAGGGUCGGAAUAACUCCCCGAAAGGGGUGCCAAUACCGGAUAAUGUCUUCGGACGAAAGAUUUUUCGCCUUUGGAGGGGCCAGCGUUGCAUUAGCUAGUUGGUAGGGUAAAAGACUACUAAGGCGACCAUCCAUAGCUGGUCUGAGAGGAUGAUCAGCCACACUGGGACUGAGAAACGGCCCAGACUCCUACGGGAUGCAGCAGUGGGGAAUAUUGGACAAUGGGCGAAAGCAUGAUCCAGCAAUGCCGCGUGAGUGAUGAAGGCCUUAGGGUUGUAAAGCUCUUUUACCCGGGAUGAUAAUGACAGUACCGGGAGAAUAAGCUCCGGCUAACUCCGUG
rnacentral:rRNA from 1 species